rnacentral:tRNA from 1 species
GGGUCUGUAGCUCAGUUGGUUAGAGUGCGUCGUUGACAUCGACGAGGUCUGCAGUUCGAGUCUGCACAGACCCA